AUUCGCCAUCUUCCCUGUUUGCACAAAUUUCACAAAGAUGUAAGAAGCACAUCAAAUGGAACUAUUUAUUUAUAUAUUUUUCUGAUAGAUCUCUGAUAAGAACAUGUUUGGAUUGGUCUAUAGGAGGAGAGGUAAGGAGUAGAUAAACUGAAUUUUCACUGCUUUCACUACUUAGUUCAUAAUUGUUGCUGGUUGGCUGCUGGUUAGCUCCUUUAAGCUAGUUUAGCAGGUUAGGAGCAGAAAUUCUAGGCUUAACUGCUGCAUAUAAAUACUGGGGUUUAGUUGGUUUUAGUUAGAUAAUUUUUGUUCAGUUUGGUAGUUCAGGAGAAGGGAACUUUCUCCAGAGUUGGUUAGAUCCAAUAGUGUACUUCAAUAAGGGAUUGUGAAAAUCCUCUAUUUUCUGAUGGACCCUAUCAAUCUCAAAUGCUAAUCUGUCCUAAACAUGUGAUGUGCAGUGUAUCGAUCCUUGGCUCCAUAGAAAAACAUCAUGCCCGGUGUGCAAGUCAUCUAUCACCUAAUUUACUGCUGGUUUCAGAUGGAUAAUUUCUUAUUCUACUACAGAAUGUUGGCUGUCCCAUUUUGGUCUGAGAUGUAAUUGAUCACUUGCAGGUCCUAAUGAAGUCUGCCAAACCAGUGGCAAGUCUAAAGGCCGCAGUUUUUUCCCCAUGACAGAUUAGUUACAAAUAUACCUGGUUGAUGGGGCUACACAGGUAUAUACUGGGAUUUAGACUUAGUAAAUUUGUAUCACACUAUUAAGGGCCGGCUUGCUUUUCUACUUUUUGGAGGCAUGCUACUGUUCGC